GGGGCACUCCUGCGAGGCUGGGCACGCGCUCGCCACCGUCCUUUUCGAAGCGCCCAGCCAGCCGCGGGGGUACGUGGCCAGCGCGCUCCGAAGUGCACCGAGUUAUUUCGGCCCCGGAGAAAGGGCGGCUCGCUGGUGAGACGUCCCGGUUGCCAAUUCGGCUCAUUUAGGAGAACAUCGACCACCUGCUGUGCCACUGUCCACGAUACACCCCUGAGAGACAAGAACUUGCCAAAGCCUUUCAAAAACUGGACAAUCGGCCGCUUUCUGUGCAGGUGCUGUUGGAACAGCGCCCCCAUCGCCCGUCGGCCCAUAAAGCGGUGAAGGCACUUUUGUGCUACUUAAGGACGACGGGCUUGUGCGACCAUCUGUGACUAUUAAUGAAAUUUCUGUAAGCCCACACACGUCAGCGAACUCACCGCAAUUUCCUUCUUUCCUUCCCUCCUCUCUUUCCCUGUUAUCUUUGUUAUCCCCUUUCCCAUUCCCCCGGUGUAGGGUAGCAAACCGGACGUUAUUCUGGUUAACCUCCCUGCCUUCUCCUUAUCUCUUUCCUCCCCCCUAGGAGUGGUACAUUUACUUUCUUUAACGCAUCGGUUUUGUCUUUUCUCUACACGUGAGUCGCUUCCCGGUAUGUUUAUUUCGCUUUUAUUUUUUGCCACGAACCUGCUUUUGCAGCACGUAUAGACUCUAAUGAAAAAUAAAACCGUCAGUUUAAUUUGGA